AGAGUUUGAUCAUGGCUCAGGACGAACGCUGGCGGCGUGCCUAAUACAUGCAAGUCGAGCGCUGGAACGCUCCUUCGGGAGCGGACUGGAGCGGCGGACGGGUGAGUAACACGUGGGCAACCUGCCCAUAAGACCGGGAUAACUUGCGGAAACGUGAGCUAAGACCGGAUAGACGGUAGACUCGCAUGAGUCUGUUGGGA
rnacentral:rRNA from 1 species